AUCUACAAACGAGAUAAUGCCGAAUAAGUAUUGUAAAUUUCAAAAAUACGAACAAGAAAGAAUAUCAUUUAAAGAUGAUUUCUAUCUUUCGUUGUUUUUAUAACCCUCACAUAUUACAAACCUCG